UUUUGUUUGACUUUUAUUAUUUUUUAAUCAACACGAAGAAGAGCGCUGAAUUACUGAAAUAUGUAAAUGGAUUGGAGGCUGUCGUAGCCUCUUCAAGGAAGGUGAACAACAGAUCGCAGAACCGCUUAUUCAAAAGCUGCACCCAAAGCUUUGUCGCUUUGUUCAACUGUGUAAACAAAAAACGUCCGUUUAGCGAACGUAACCUUGUUUUCUUUGUUGAAAACACACGCAGCCCCGUUGCUGCUCGAACAACGAUUUUAUUCUAUCUCCAUUAGGGAUAAAGAUCAAAUCUUUGACAGGACCUUUUAUCAUCGAUAUUAUUGUGAUAAAUUUAUAUCUAUUUAUGGAUCUCUCAAUAAGAACUAAGCCGGAUAAGUACCGAUGUGGACUUGAAACCGUGUAAAAACGAUCAAUUUUUCAAUCUCUUUCUUCUCCCUCUUCCCAUUCAAUUAGACCAGCUAACAAAACGUCCUAUUCAUUGACCGAUGAACGACGUAAAACAUUCAUUCGAGCUAAAUAAGUCAAAACUCUCGGAAACAACUGCUGCGUGCUUUGAAAAAAUUUUGAAUUCAAAAUUAGUCAUUAAUUUCAAUCGGAGGGAUCGUACACACGAAUCGAGCAAUUAAGCGUUAUAAAUCAAUCAAUUUUCGUCUCGUUCUUUGACUGUGAGAAAUAAUUAGGAACAUUUAUUACGUUUUUAGAGGCAAUUAGUGUCGAAUAUCUGCCAAGAAUAAUAUUAACGUGAGUGUGAUUUUCCAUCAAAUUGGAAGAGGAACAAGUAAACAUUUAUGUACGAAGUUCACGUUUCUUCAUAAUUCGGAAAGUCAUUUAUUUUCAGCGUUCCAACGUUCAACCGGUUGAUAAGAUAUUACAAGUUGGCAAAUGUUUGCUCCCCCUCAGAAUUUUAUCUUCGAUUCAAGUCAAUGAAGAAGUUAUCGUAAUGCAACAAAUGAGAAAUGCAAUCCCGGCUAACACUGUCAAUAUAUUAUUCCUUAGUUUUAAUGCUUUCACAAUAAUAGAUUACUCAAACAUCUGACGAUGACACAACAUAUUGAGCCGUCCAUGGAACUUCACAAUUUAAUGAUCCGCCUUGAUUAAUGAGUAAUAAAACAAUUGUCCAUUUA